rfam:Baudoinia panamericana TAMH 10762 unplaced genomic scaffold BATCOscaffold_14, whole genome shotgun sequence.
GGUUGUAUAGUGUAGCGGUUAGCACAUCGGAUUCUGAUGUGUCUUCAAUAUCGAAAGACAUCAUGAUCUUCCGGUAACCCCGGUUCGAUUCCGGGUACGACCU